GAGCUGUUGCUGGUCCUCACACAUGGGGACAUGUGCACGCUCUGUUUGCACAUCCACUCACACCUGUGCACCCUCUGUAGUUCUACGGUCUGGGGGACACCUGUCUCCCUCCUGUAGUCCUACGUCUUUACACACACAACGUAGCAAAGUGUCAUGGAAUGUGGGUCGCGUUUAACGCAAUACAAUACAACUUUCAGCAACGGAUCUCUUGGCUCUCGCAUCGAUGAAGAACGCAGCGAAAUGCGAUAAGUAAUGUGAAUUGCAGAAUUCAGUGAAUCAUCGAAUCUUUGAACGCACCUUGCGCCCCUUGGCUAUUCCGAGGGGCAUGCCUGUUUGAGUAUCACGAACACCUCAACUCUCGCAGUUCCCUGCGAUGAGCUUGGAUUUUUGGGGGGUCUUGCUGGCCCACGGUCAGCUCCUCUGAAACAGAUCAGCUUGCCAGUGUUUGGUGGCGUCAUGGGCGUGAUAACCAUCUGCGCUUGUGGCCGCUUUCCGAGUAACCUUUGACAACAAAGGUUUGCUGGUGCUCAUAAANGUCUCUCCUCAGUGAAGACAGCUUUUUGACCGUUUGAUCUCAAAUCAGGUAGGACUACCCGCUGAACUUAAGCAUAUCAAUAAGCGGAGGAAAAGAAACUAACAAGGAUUCCCCUAGUAACUGCGAGUGAAGCGGGAAGAGCUCAAAUUUAAAAUCUGGCGUGCCUCUGGUCGUCCGAGUUGUAGUCUGGAGAAGCGUUUUCCGCGCUGGACCG
rnacentral:rRNA from 1 species